ensembl:misc_RNA 7SK 7SK RNA
AGAUAUGAGGGUGAGCUGGCUGAUUCAUCUGUCACCCCAAUGGUCACCAGGGUGGAUUCUGCUGGUCUGACUGGCUAAGCGGGUGUCCCCUUCUACCCUUCACCACUCCAUGGAUGUCCCUCCCAAACCAGCAUGUUUUGCUGUAAGAGGAUGAACUGCCCCAAAGGUUGAGGGUACACAUGUAGCUGGGCUCCUCUGCUCUGCUUGCACUUCCAAACAGACUCUCAAGGAGAAAAUCAAUAAAAAACAGUCCACCAGGAGUGGUGAACUUAUGCAAACAUGAAUCUCAAUAGAACACAGUUUCUUUUUUAUUAUUAUUC